rnacentral:lncRNA from 1 species
GCCGCUGCGCGGCGCAUGCGCGUGGGGAGAAGGCGGGGGGGCGGGGGGGGUGGGGUCGAGCGGAACUGACGUAGGACGCGCGCCUCCCAGGUGCCAGAGUUCGUAUAUGACUCCAGUCCUGGCGCUGGAUGCUGCUGCUGUUCCAGCUUCCUAGGUGUGGAAACUGAAGGACCAAGAGAUUAAACAGGUGUGCUGAGUAAACUCACAGGCUGAGAUUCGAAUUAUCCUCCCCCGACGAGGAUGGAGCCUUCGCUGUCUUCCUUGAUCGCCACGUUUCUUUGCGAGCCGAUGAAGGAAAGCGUGAGGAAUGAUAAGGCCCUGGAGACUGGAGAACGCGAGCUUAUCGCUGUCUCACAUGCGCACGGCUUAGACGUUGAGAGCUCACAGGCCCACUUGCAUAACCACUUUCUUGAUAGCGGGGUUACAGCUUGAGAGCAUGGGGCUUUGUGCACGGCCAGACCUAAAGACUACUCCUGGGUCUGCUACUGGCCAUUGUGACACCUUAAGUCAUUUCCCCUAUUCUGAGACUCCGUUUCCCCGUCUGUAAGGUGGAAAGAAUAGUAUCUGUUUCAUAGGAUCACAGUGAGUAUUAAAUGAAAUAAUGCAAUUAAAGAACUCAGCAGGCCGGGCGCGGUGGCUCACGCCUGUAAUCCCAGCACUUUGGGAGGCCGAGGCGGGCGGAUCACGAGGUCAAAAGAUCGAGACCAUCCUAGCCAACAUGAUGAAACCCCGUCUCUACUAAAAAUACAAAAAUUAGCUAGGCGUGGUGGCGCGAGCCUGUAGUCCCAGCUACUCGGGAGGCUGAAGCAGGAGAAUCGCUUGAACCCGGGAGGCAGAGGUUGCAGUGAGCCGACAUCGCGCCACUGCACUCCAGCCUGGCGACAGAGCAAGACUCUGUCUCAAAAAGAAAAAAAAAGAAAAAACUCAGCAAAUGGCUGACACAUGAUGGGCAUUCAGUAGCCGAUGGUUAUUACGGUCAAAUCCAACCACAGCAACUUACUAGCUGCGUGGCCUUGGGCAAGUGACUUGAUCUUCUGAGACUCAGUUUACCCCCUGUGAAGUGAAGGGAUUGGACUAGAUGAUCUCUGCGUUUCCUCCCCCAUGUGAUAUUUCAAAGUACUUUUUUUCGAACAGCUGGUUGUGGCCUGUCAAUAGGUUUUAAAAUCCGUUUAUAGAGAAUUGUGAUCAACAUUUAAAAAAAAAAUAGAAUACAAAAAAAAAAAAACCCAGAAUGUAUCACACAUUUCAAGUCUCAAUUGAUGAAACUUUUGUUUCAGUUUUGAGUUUGUAUUCAGACACAAUAUGAUGUGUUUUUCAUAUUGUGGGUUGAGAUCAAAAUAAUUAAAAGUCACUGUUUAGAGGUGAAAUAAUCUUGUUUUCAGGAUAGAAUGUUUUCCUACUCCCUGGUGGGGAAAAGACAGGAUACAGAAAGAGAGUUAUGGGAUACCCUGGCUACCCUCUUCCCUUCACAUCUGGCUCUGGAGUGCUCAGUGGGGCUGGUGAAGUAUAGACCAAAAUAUCCAUUUUUUCAAGUUCCAUUCAGAAAUAUUUUCUGGGCCACAUGCAGUGCCUCAUGCCUGUAAUCUCAGCACUUUUGGGAGGCCAAGGUGGGAGGAUCACUUGAGCCCAGGAGUUUGAGACUAGCCUGGGCAACAUAGGGAGACCCCAUCUUUACAAAAAUAAUUAAAAAUAUUAGCCCAGCAUGGUGGCUCAUGCCUGUGGUCCCAGCUAUUUGGGAGGCUGAAGUGGAAGGAUCUCCUGAGCCUGGGAGGGUGAGGCUGUAGUGAGCUGUAAUCAUACCACUGCACUCCAACCUGGGUGUCAGAGCAAGACUGUCUCAAAAAAAUAAAAACAAGAAAAAUAUUUUGAUGUCCUAUUUUAGUUACUUGUGCAAUAAGCAAGCUUGGUUCUGUUUCAAAAUAGCUCAGUGCCGUGAAUUAUUCCUGCUUUUAGGUCACAGUUUCAGGUAAGGGACCUGGAAUGUGGCAAACAGUAAAUGUUUACUUGACUGAUAUACUUGGUAGCCUUUCUUUGGUAAGAGUGUCCUUUUGAAGAACCAACUCAGGCCUUACCCCGGAGAUCUACUCAUUUUGGCUUUUUCCUGUUGCCUUCAUUAAUGAUUUAUUUGAGCACUGUGUGCUAAGCACAUUAUGUAGUUCAUCUCAAUUAAUUGUCACAUGAACUUUAAGAGCUAGGUACAGCCAGGUGUGGUGGCUCACACCUGUAACACUUUGGGAGGCCGAGGCGGGUAGAUCACUUGAGGUCAGGAGUUUGAGACCAGCCUGGCCAGCAUGGUGAAACCCCGUCUCUACUAAAAAUAGAAAAAUUAGCCAGGCAUCGUAGCGUGUGCCUGUAAUCCCAGCUACUCGGGAGGCUGAGGCAGGAGAAUCGCUUGAACCCAGGAGGCAGAGGUUGCAGUGAGCCGAGAUUGUGCCACUGCACUCCAGCCUGAGCGACAGAGCGAGACUCCAUCUCAAAAAAAAAAAAAAGAGAGCUAGGUGCUAUUACCUACUGUUAUCUCCAAUUUGAAGAUGAGGAAAACUGAGGCUGAAAGAGGCAAACUAACUUGUCUGAGACUAGGUAAAGUUAGGAGGUAACCAGGCUUUGAACACAUCCUGUAGUGUUCUUGUAACACAUCAGUAGUUUCCUGGUUAGGGUGGGGAGGUUGAGGCGGGAGGUGCACACAAAGUAAAUAUGCUGUAUCAAUUAGCUUAUGCUGUGUAACAGAUUACCCUAAAACUUUGAUAGCUUUAAACAACAAACAUUGAUUAAUUCGCAUGAUCCUGUGGAUUAGCUUUUCUGGGCCAGUUCAGCUUGGGCUGGAAAGUUUGGGAUGGUCUCACUCUCGUCUGCUUGAUGCUGGCUGUUAGCUGGGAUGAUGGGACCACGUGUCUCCAGCAGACAAGCCUAGCUAAAUUACAUGGUGAUAAUUGCAGAGUUCCCAGGAGCAAGAGAGGGCAAGACUCAAUUGCACAAGCACUUUUUUUUUUUUUUUUUUUUUUGAGAUGGAGUCUUGCUCUGUCACCUAAGCUGGAGUGCAGUGGCACAAUCUCCGCUCACUGCAACCUCCCCCUCCCGGGUUCAAGCGAUUCUCCUGCCUCAGCCUUCCGAGUAGCUGGGAUUACAGGCGCCUGCCACCACGCCUGGCUAAUUUUUGUAUUUUUAGUAGAGAUGGGGUUUCACCAUGUUGGGCAGGCUGGUCUCAAACUUCUGACCUCAGGUGAUCUGCCCACCUCGGCCUCCCAAAGUGCUAGGAUUACAGGCAUGAGCCACUGCGCCCUGCCAGCACAAGCACUUUUUAAGCCUUACAUCUAUAAUCUUUCUAUAAUGACCCAUCAGCCAAAUCCAAAUUCUAGAGUGGAGAGCUAGACUGUAGACUUCACCUCCUGAUUGGAAGAACUGCAAAAUACUGUGGCUCCUCCCCUCCCAGUAGGUCUGUAUUAGUUGUCUUUUGUUGUGUAACAAAUUAUUCCCAAACUUAAUGGCUUAAAACUGUAGCAGGACAAGCUGCAGAUAAAACCUGUCAGACACCAGGUUAAAGAAGGAAGAGACUUUAUUCGGCCAGGAGCGUUGGCAGAGUUGUGUCUCAAGAACCAAGCUCUCCAAAGAAAAAGUUCCUGGCCCUUUUAAGGGCUUAUAACUCUAAGGGGGUCCACGUGAAAGGGUUGUGAUAGAUUGAGCAAGUGAUCUAUAGGUAACACAUGUGGUUAGGGUGGGGGCGUUAAUCUUUAACCUCAGGCCUGGUAAGUGGCAUCAGUUGGUCUUGCCACUGACUUCAUUCCUGUUGUUUUUCAGCUUUUACUUCUUCCUUCUCUUCAGAGACAGUAAGAGAAAUGGCCUCUCUCCUCAAAACAACAAUUAACAUUUAUCAUCUCACAGUUUCUGUGAGUUAGGAAUUUGAGAGCGUCCUAGCUGGGUGGUUCUGGCUUGGGGUCUCUCAUGAGCCUGAAAUCAUAUGAAGGCUUGGCCAGGGCUGGAGAAGCCCCGGCUGGCAAGUUUGUGCAGGCUCUUGGCAGGAGGCCCCAGUUCCUUAACACAUGGACCUCUCAAUAGUACUGUUUGAGUGUCCUCAUGAUACAGCAGCUGGUUUUCAGCAGAACAAGUGAUCUAAGGGCAAGGUAGAAACCACCAAUGUCUUUUAUGACCUAGCCACAGAAGUCCCAUAUUGUCAAUUUUGCAACAUCCCAUGGUUUCACAGGUCAGCCAUAUUCAGUGUGUGCGGGAACUUCAUAAGAGUGCAGAUACCAGGAGGUAGAAAUCAUUAGAGGCCACCUUAGUGGCUGGCUACCAUGCUGCCAUACAUGUUAAGUGGCACUGAAAAUGGCUUUAUUCUACUGUACUUAAUUAGUAGUUUGGCUGUGGAUAGAAUUCUUUCAUAAUUGUGAAGAAAUUGCUCUGGUUUUCUUCUGGCUUUGAUAAAUACAAUGCUGUUCUGAAUCCUGAUUCUUUUUAUGGGUUUUCCCCCCACCCCACCCCGUUUUCUGGAAGCUUUUAAGAUCUUCUCUUGGUAUUCUAGAAUGUGAUGAUUUUUGUUGUGCUUUGGUCUCUUUUGUCAUUCAUUGUGCUGGAUACCUGAGGGACCUUUUCAAUUUAGAACCCCUAGAACAAAGUGUGAGCACACAGGUUAGGACCUCUGCAUGCGUGGACACAAGGCCCUUCCAGGCACACAGAUUUAGAGAUAUGGAGAGAAUGGGGCAGGGCUAGGGUCCUGUUCUCUGCCUCUCACCACCUUCUAGUACAGAACUCUGAGAGGCCCAAAAAUGUGAAUGUGGUCUUCCAGGUCAUUGUGAAGGUUUAUUUAUUGACAUAGCAGAAUAGAUUGUCUUUUAUUUAAUAGUUCAUUAGGGUCAUUUAUAACUUUUUAAGUAUGCAUUCAGCUGUAUUCUUGCUCCUGUCCUGCAAAUAUUAGGUUUGGCCUGCUAGGCAAAUUGCUUAACCUCUCUAGGUCUCAGAUUUUUUUCUUUUUUCUUUUUAUUUAUUUAUUUUUCUAGGCCUCAGAUUUGUCUUACAUAAAAUGGGAAUCAUAACAGUACCUAUGUUGUGGAGUGCUAUGACAGUAAUGUGAAAUAACACAUGAAAGUGUUUGGUAUAACAUCUGGUCCACAGGGAAAGGCUAUUACUGUAGCCGCCCCCCUCCCCUGCCCCUGACUCGGUUUUGCUUUCUGUGGUUUCAGUUACAUGCAGUCAACCACUGUCCAAAAAUAUUAAAUGGAAAUUUUCAGAAAUAAACCAUCUGUAAAUUUUAAAUUGCAUGCUGUCCUGAGUAGCGUGAUGAAGUCUUGUGCUGUCCCGCUCUGUCCACCUGGGGAACCUGAAUCGUCCCUUUGUCUAGUGCCUCCACGCUGUAUACACUCCCUGUUCGUUAGUCACUUACUAAGUAAGUGCCCUGUUCGUUAUCGGAUCGACUGCCGUGAUAUUGCAAUGCUUGUGUUCAAGUCACCCUUAUUUGACUUAAUAAUGGCCCCAAAGUGCAAGAGUAGUCAUGCUAGCAAUUUGGAUAUGGCAAAGAGAAGCCAUAAAGUUCUUUCUUUAAAUGAAAAGGUAAAAGUUAUAAUAAGGAAAGAAAAAAUAAAGUGUGCUGAGGUCGCUAAGAUCUGUAGUAAGAACGAAUCUUCUAUCUGUGAAAUUAUGAAGAAGGAAAAAGAAAUACCUGCUAGUUUUGCUGCCACACAUGAAACUGCAAAAGUUAUGAGCACAGUGCCUGAUAACUGUAUUACAUCAUAUUGCUAUAAUUGUUCCAUUUUAUUAUUAGUUGUUUAAUCUCAUCGUGCCUAAUUUAUAAAUUAAAUGUAAUCAUAGGUAUGUAUGUAUAGAAAAAAGCAUAGUACUGUAUAUAUAGCGUUCAGUACUAUUUCAGUCAUCCCCUGAGGGUCUUGGAACAUAUCGCCCACAGAUAAGGGGGGACUGCGGAUAAUCCCCAGUUUAUGGUGGUUCGACUUAUGACUUUGUGACUUUACAGUGGUGCAAAAGUGGUAAGAAUUCAGCAUUCUCCUCGACAAGUGGACGAGCAUCUACUGUGCUUUCACAGCGGCUAUCACUAUUGCCAGCAGCAAGACUGUCAGCUCGGCGCCCUCGUCUGGUUGGAUGGGAAACUGCAGUUGCUAAGGGAGCUGGGAAUCUCUGAGGACAAAUGGGAAUUCUCACUGAUUUCUAGGACUACCCUGGGGCAGGUAAGAAAAGCAUCCAAGUUUUUUCCCAUUGCUCCAUUUAUAAACUUUUUUUUUUUUUUGGAGAUAGGGUCUCACUCUGCCACCCAGGCUGGAGUGCAGUGGCACAGUCUUGGCUCACUGCAACUUCUGCCUCCUGGGCUCAACCAGUCCUCCCACUUCAGCCUCCUGAGUAGCUGGGACUACAGGUGCAUGCCACCAUGCCCAGGUAAUUUUUGUAUUUUUUGUAGAGAUGGAGUUUCAUCACAUUGCCUAGGCUGGUCUCGAAAUCCUGGACUCAAGUGAUCUGCUGGCCUCAGCCUCCCUAACUGCUGGGACUAGAGGCCUGAGCGACCACCCCUGGCUGUAAACAUUUUCUUAGCUCAAGGAUUGCUGAAUUUGUAUCCAUUUUCUUCUCUCCUAUCUCAAUUGGGUGGGUGAAAUGAUACUGUUAAUUAUUUUCUGUUACUUUUGAAUGCUUCUUUGUGGCGAACUGAGGGCAUAGUAAUACUGUAGCAGCUAACAACCAUAUGGGUCCCGAGGGCUUUACUAAUGUUAUUUUUUAAUUUUCCUAAUUGCAGGUGUUUUAUUAUUAGCUUCAUUUUAUAGAUGAGAAAACUGGGCACAGAGAGGCUGAGUUACUUGCUCAAGUUCAUACAGGUGGUCAGUAGUAGAGCUAGGAUUUGAACCCGGCAGUCAGCCUCGGGAGUUCAUGUUAUUUUUAUUUAUUUAUUUUUUGAGACAAGGUCUUGCUCUGCCACGCAGACUGGAGUGCAGUGUCGUGAUCUCAGCUCACUGCAGCCUUGACACCCCCAGGCUUAAGUGAUCCUCCUGCCUCAGCCUCUUGAGUAGCUGGGACUACAGGCACACAUCACCAUGCCUGGCUAAUUUUUGUAUAUUUUGUAGAGACGGAGUUUUGCCAUGUUGCCGAGGCUGGUCUCAAACUCCUGGGAUCAAAGGAUGCGCCCCUGUUAGCCUCCCAAAAUGCUGGGAUUAUAGGUGUGA